rnacentral:misc_RNA from 1 species
GAACGCACCUUGCGCCCUUUGGCCAUUCCGAAGGGCAUGCCUGUUUGAGUAUCAUGAACACCUCAACUCUCAUGGCUUGCCAUGAUGAGCUUGGACUUUGGGGGUCUUGCUGGCCUAUGGUCGGCUCCUCUCAAAUGGAUCAGCUUGCCAGUGUUUGGUGGCGUCACAGGUGUGAUAACUAUCUGCGCUUGUGGUUUCCCAUCAGAUAACCUUCAGCGAUGGAGGUUCGCUGGGGCUCAUAAAUGUCUCUCCUAAGUGAGGACAGCCCUUUGAACGUUUGAUCUCAAAUCAGGUAGGACUACCCGCUGAACUUAAG